rnacentral:lncRNA from 1 species
UUCGGCUUUUCGUCGACAUAUCUGUCCCAAGGAAUGUCGGUGCCUGUGUAUCUGAGGUGGAGCAUGCACGGGUAUACAAUGUCGACGACUUGAAAGAGGUGGUGGAAGCCAAUAAGGAAGACCGUGUCAGGAAAGCAAUGGAGGCCCAAACAAUCAUUACCCAAGAGCUGAAACGGUUCGAGGCUUGGAGGGACUCACUGGAGACGGUUCCGACCAUCAAAAAGCUGAGGUCGUACGCCGACAGGAUCAGGGCAUCUGAGCUCGAGAAGUGCCUGCAGAAGAUCGGGGAAGACAAUCUCAACAAGAAGAUGAGAAGGUCCAUCGAGGAGCUGAGCACGGGUAUAGUGAACAAGCUCCUUCACGGCCCACUGCAGCACCUGAGAUGCGACGGCAGCGACAGCCGCACCCUGGACGAAACGCUGGAGAACAUGCACGCCCUCAACAGAAUGUUCAACCUCGACACGGAGAAGGCGGUCCUUGAGCAGAAGAUCAAGGCCAAGGUAGAGAAGACCCAAAGCUGAGACCGGGAGACACUUGUCCGUCUGUAUAUCUACUUAAUACUGCUCCCAGAAUGUCGCUACAUUCUAAUCCCAAUAUUUUUUUUGAUCCUCCACUUGCUGCUGAGUUCUUCUUGUGCCGUGAAUUAGCCAUGGCAGCCCCCAAAUGUGUUGUAGAGAGGAGCAGGGAAGCAUGUUUGCUCCAAAACUGCCUGUGUACAUUAAUUACUGUGGCUGCUGUGGUUAGAGCCCAAUUUUCAAGCUGUACUAUAAUACUGUACUCUAUUGGACGAAAUAAAGAGGAAUAUAUCAGUGUGUUAAUGGAUGCAUUCGUUUUAUAUACUUGCAUUAGCUCCUGCAUUCGAAAUGUUGAGCAUUAAUAAGAUUUCC